rnacentral:rRNA from 1 species
GACGAACGCUGGCGGCGUGCUUAACACAUGCAAGUCGAGCGGAAAGGCCCUUCGGGGUACUCGAGCGGCGAACGGGUGAGUAACACGUGGGCAACCUGCCCCUCGCUCUGGGAUAACUCCGGGAAACCGGGGCUAAUACCGGAUACGACCUCGGAAGACAUCUUCUGAGGUGGAAAGUUUUUCGGCGAGGGAUGGGCCCGCGGCCUAUCAGCUUGUUGGUGGGGUAACGGCCCACCAAGGCGACGACGGGUAGCCGGCCUGAGAGGGCGACCGGCCACACUGGGACUGAGACACGGCCCAGACUCCUACGGGAGGCAGCAGUGGGGAAUAUUGCGCAAUGGGCGAAAGCCUGACGCAGCGACGCCGCGUGAGGGAUGAAGGCCUUCGGGUUGUAAACCUCUUUCAGCAGGGACGAAAACAGACGGUACCUGCAGAAGAAGCACCGGCCAACUACGUGCCAGCCGCCGCAGUAA